rnacentral:tRNA from 2 species
GGGGCCGUAGCUCAGUUGGAAGAGCGCUUGAAUGGCAUUCAAGAGGUCGUCGGUUCGAUCCCGAUCGGCUCCACCA